CUACGGGGUGCAGCAGUAAGGAAUAUUGCGCAAUGGAGGCAACUCUGACGCAGCCAUGCCGCGUGCAGGACUGAAGGCCUUAUGGGUCGUAAACUGCUUUUAUUUAGGAAUAAACUCUUGUACGUGUACGAGACUGAAGGUACUAAAUGAAUAAGCACCGGCUAACUCCGUGCCAGCAGCCGCGGUAAUACGGAGGGUGCAAGCGUUAUCCGGAUUUAUUGGGUUUAAAGGGUGCGCAGGCGGACUAUUAAGUCAGAGGUGAAAUCCCGGAGCUCAACUUCGGAACUGCCUUUGAUACUGGUAGUCUUGAAUACGGUUGAAGUAGGCGGAAUGUAGCAUGUAGCGGUGAAAUGCAUAGAGAUGCUACAGAACACCGAUCGCGAAGGCAGCUUACUAAGCCGAUAUUGACGCUCAGGCACGAAAGCGUGGGAGCGAACAGGAUUAGAUACCCCAGUAGUC
rnacentral:rRNA from 1 species